rnacentral:lncRNA from 1 species
UUUUUGCUAGCUUGUAUGUUGUAAAACUUGAUCACUUUUUCAAACAUUUUGCUAGCUUACACUUUGCAAAGAAAGCAAAAAUGACACUUCUAGAAGAAAGAGCUUGUUAUUUUGAACAUCACAAGCUUGCCUAUCUUAAGAAACAAACAUUACAAAAGUGCUAUCUUGCCUAUCUCAAGAAGCAAAACUUGCAACUUGCACAUUGCAAUAGGAAGCAAGAAUUAUGAGCUUACACAAGAAAGCUAUCUUGCAUUUGCUUUCAAAAUUUUUGCUAGCUUGUAUAUUGUGAAACUUACAUAUCGUAAAAAUUGCUAGCUUGUAGUCUAAAGAGAAGCAAAAAGUUGCUAUCUCAAAAGAAGCAAAUGUGCUAUCUUGCCUAUCUUAAGAGGCAAAAAUGCUAAUUUGCACAUCUAGUAAAACUUGACAAAUUUGCAUAUUUCAAGAAGCAAGAGUUGCUUUCUUGAACAUCUCAAUAUUGCUAGCUUGCAUGAUGUAGAACUUGCUAUCUUGAAC